rnacentral:rRNA from 1 species
UACGUAGGGUGCGAGCGUUGUCCGGAAUUAUUGGGCGUAAAGAGCUUGUAGGCGGUCUGUCGCGUCUGCUGUGAAAAUCCGGGGCUCAACCCCGGACUUGCAGUGGGGUACGGGCAGACUAGAGUGUGGUAGGGGAGACUGGAAUUCCUGGUGUAGCGGUGAAAUGCGCAGAUAUCAGGAGGAACACCGAGUGGCGAAGGCAGGUCUCUGGGCCACU